GAUGUACGCUGGCGGCGUGCCUAAUACAUGCAAGUCGAGCGAACAGACGAGGAGCUUGCUCCUCUGACGUUAGCGGCGGACGGGUGAGUAACACGUGGAUAACCUACCUAUAAGACUGGGAUAACUUCGGGAAACCGGAGCUAAUACCGGAUAAUAUAUUGAACCGCAUGGUUCAAUAGUGAAAGACGGUUUUGCUGUCACUUAUAGAUGGAUCCGCGCCGCAUUAGCUAGUUGGUAAGGUAACAGCUUACCAAGGCAACGAUGCGUAGCCGACCUGAGAGGGUGAUCGGCCACACUGGAACUGAGACACGGUCCAGACUCCUACGGGAGGCAGCAGUAGGGAAUCUUCCGCAAUGGGCGAAAGCCUGACGGAGCAACGCCGCGUGAGUGAUGAAGGUCUUCGGAUCGUAAAACUCUGUUAUUAGGGAAGAACAAAUGUGUAAGUAACUAUGCACGUCUUGACGGUACCUAAUCAGAAAGCCACGGCUAACUACGUG
rnacentral:rRNA from 1 species